AUUGAACGCUGGCGGCAGGCCUAACACAUGCAAGUCGAACGAGUGGUGGACGGGUGUGUAAUGUCUGGGAAACUGCCCGAUGGAGGGGGAUAACUACUGGAAACGGUAGCUAAUACCGCAUACCAUCGGAUGUGCCCAGAUGGGAUUAGCUAGUAGGUGGGGUAAAGGCUCACCUAGGCGACGAUCCCUAGCUGGUCUGAGAGGAUGACCGGCAACACUGGAACUGAGACACGGUCCAGACUCCUACGGGAGGCAGCAGUGGGGAAUAUUGCACAAUGGGCGAAAGCCUGAUCAAGCCAGGCCGCGUGUAUGAAGAAGGCCUUCGGGUUGUAAAGUACUUUCAGCGAGGAGGCGUUACUCGCCGAAGAAGCACCGGCUAACUCCGUGCCAGCAGCCGCGGUAAUUC
rnacentral:rRNA from 1 species